rnacentral:tRNA from 2 species
GCCCUCGUACCUCAUCAGGAUAGAGGAAUCGCCUCCUAAGCGAUCUGUGGUUGGUUCGAGUCCAAUCGAGGGCG